GAACGCUGGCGGCGUGCCUAAUACAUGCAAGUCGAACGAACGGAGGAAGAGCUUGCUCUUCCAAAGUUAGUGGCGGACGGGUGAGUAACACGUGGGCAACCUGCCUGUAAGUUGGGGAUAACUCCGGGAAACCGGGGCUAAUACCGAAUGAUAAGGAGUGACGCAUGUCACUGCUUUGAAAGAUGGUUUCGGCUAUCGCUUACAGAUGGGCCCGCGGUGCAUUAGCUAGUUGGUAGGGUAAAGGCCUACCAAGGCAACGAUGCAUAGCCGACCUGAGAGGGUGAUCGGCCACACUGGGACUGAGACACGGCCCAGACUCCUACGGGAGGCAGCAGUAGGGAAUCUUCCGCAAUGGACGAAAGUCUGACGGAGCAACGCCGCGUGUAUGAAGAAGGUUUUCGGAUCGUAAAGUACUGUUGUUAGAGAAGAACAAGGAUAAGAGUAACUGCUUGUCCCUUGACGGUAUCUAACC
rnacentral:rRNA from 1 species